UGAGGAAUUUUACACAAUGGGGGAAACCCUGAUGUAGCGGCACCGCGUGAGUGAAGAAGCCUUUUGGGGUGUAAAACUCUGUCAGCAGGGACGAAACAAAUGACGGUACCUGCAGAGGAAGCAUCGGCUAACUACGUGCCAGCAGCCGCGGUAAGACGUAGGAUGCAAGCGUUGUCCGGAUUUAUUGGGCGUAAAGAGUUCGUAGGUGGUUUGUUAAGUCUGAUGUUAAAGACUGGGGCUCAACCUCGGAAGUGCAUUGGAUACUGGCAGACUUGAGUGUAGUAGAGGCAAGCGGAAUUCCAGGUGUAGCGGUGAAAUGCGUAGAUAUCUGGAAGAACACCGGUGGCGCAAGCGGCUUGCUGGGCUAUAACUGACACUGAGGAACGAAAGCUAGGGUAGCGAA
rnacentral:rRNA from 1 species